GUCGGAGAGCUUUUCAGAGAGAACUAGUUGAAUAUUGCCCAGAUUGUAACCUGAUCAUCAGGUUAGAACAUAAUGCAAAUUUAGCAAAACAGUAUUUAAAUAACCCCGACUCAAUAUCAGGUAGAAACCCAAGUAUACGCUGCAUCGGGUUCAAUAACAUUGAAAUACAAAGGAAGAGAGCAAUCGGUGCCUAGGUAGACGCAUCCAAGAGCAGGGGGAUACGUAGCUGGCCCGGAAACUGCAGAUUUCAGGUUACAAUGAUCAGUGUCUGGGGGACAGCUAUUGACCUCUUGACCAAAUGAAGCACAUAGUGUGGACAGAAACUGUAGACAUCUUGUAUGUAAUCCUAGAGAUCUUUGUGCCUGCUGUUGAAAACUGCAUGGGGUUAUUCAAUCACAACUCAGCGAUUCCAUUCCAUUAAGGCCAGGUGGGUGUGAAGAAGCGUGUGCCUUUGAUCUGAUCUGCAAUGCUUCAUGGGUCUUGCUCGCAUUCAUGUCUUUUGUCUCUGUUCAGAUUCUGAUUUAUCACAUGGAAGCUCUCAUUACCUG